rnacentral:lncRNA from 1 species
CAAUAAUCACCUCCUGUGCUUGGAGAGGAGGAAAGGAAGGUGUCUGUAAUCACCAUGCUUAACUAAAGUCUCCUGUGUGAAGAUCUCAAACAGCCUUGGAAGUAUCAGCUGAUGUACUCAGCUGAUGUACUCAGCUUGCACUUCCAGGAGAAUAAAUCUUCCUGUCCUGGGGCACAAAGAGGUCAGGGGAGAGCAGCAGAACUCUGGGGUGCUCCUGUCCUGCACUCAGUCCAGUGUUCCAGAGGCUGAACAAGGUCUGGAGCAAAGAGGAUUAAUGGGCUGUGCAGCACAGGCACACGUCUGGCACGGUGGCUGUGACCCAGGUGAAGUUUGAGAAGCUCGCUGGAAAUGAUGAAGCCAAUCACCAGGGAAAGGAGAGAGAUGCUGUCGAUGUGAGAUGUGCACAGCGAGUGAUUCCUGAAGUAAGAAGAGUCUUGAGAAUGUGAGUAAUAAACAGCUUCUAAAAUCUUUUGGAAAAUAACCCAGGAAACUCUUGUGAGCAGCACCACAGCU